rnacentral:rRNA from 1 species
UACAGAGGUCCCGAGCGUUGUUCGGAUUCACUGGGCGUAAAGGGUGCGUAGGCGGUCGGGUAAGUCUGAUGUGAAAUCUCACAGCUUAACUGUGAAACUGCAUUGGAUACUAUUCGGCUUGAGAGUUGGAGGGGGGACUGGAAUUCUUGGUGUAGCAGUGAAAUGCGUAGAUAUCAAGAGGAACACCAGUGGCGAAGGCGAGUCCCUGGACAACUUCUGACGCUGAGGCACGAAGGUCAGGGGAGCAAACGGG